UCAAAUGGAAUGAGAGUGCAUUUUGUGUGUUCUAUUGGUUCUUGCUGCUGCUAUCUAGGUGAUUGCCUUCCUUUUUAUUUGCAAUAAUUCUGCUAUGAUAAUCUCUGAAGGUAAUUUUUGUUGGCAAAAUCUGCGAAGACUCAGAACUCGGAGUGAAGCACUGAACCAGUGUGCUUAUCGGAGCGACGAUGUAUAAUUGUCAAUGCCUAAAUGCUAGGCGUCCCAUUGUUAUACCUGACGCUUGAGGUUAUCUUGUCCAAGAAAUAUGGUGAGAGUGAAUGAUUAUUAGGGAAGGUGUUUUCACUUGCUAAUCAGCUGCCAGAUGGUGCUAUCAUUUUCCUGGAUGGUCGAGCAUUUUUGUUGCCAAGGCUGGAAUUCGUUGAAUGACAACUUUGUGAAGCUUGUCUCUUGGUAUGAUAAUGAAUGGGCUUAUAAGAGGGUGCAGAGAGAUGCCUCUUACUCAAGAAAUGAGAUUCUAGGCCUGACUUUGCAGAUUACUAUUGAUUUCAAGCAGCAAAAAUGGAAGGAAUUAAGAUGAGAGUUAGAUAAAAGACACUUGGUUUUGAUGCAUGGA